UUUGCAGUGUUAAAAGUUAUUAAUUCCCAGAGAGUUGAAUUAACAAUCUACAGUGUUAAACAGUACUGGUGUUCAGUGUUGUCACGAUUUUAGCCCGAUUUUUCACUCGCCGACAGGUUUUGAUAAAUCGCCGACAAACGCCCGACAUCGGAGGCAAAUCGGAGCUCGUUCACGCGAGUGAAAAUCGCGCAGUGUGAAUUAUCAAAGACGCGAUCUGAGAGAAUCGCCGACACGUCGCCGACGCCCGUGAAAUAUUUGGCAUGCUAAAUAUCUGGAGCUGUCGGCGAUUCACAAUCCUGCUGUGUGCAAUGAUUUCUGACUGAAAACUACAUCACGAUGACCUUCAGCCAAUGAGAGACAAAGAUACAGGGCAGAGGGAAGUUCCAUGAGGAGUUAUCAUAUCAGUAUUUUAAUUUGUACAAUUAUAUCAUACAGAAACAAGCACAAACGCUUGACCAGCCGCAACAACAGUUACUGCAAAUGAUUAUUUACCACUCUUUGCAGAACACAAUCCCUGUUCCCUGCAUCCCUCCUGCAUAAUCUGUUGUUGUUUUUGUAGCUGGAAAUCAGCGCACAGACAAUUUGCGGGCUAUAUAUUUUUAAUACUUCCAGUCUCGCUCCAGAACAACGGGCUGAGGCAUGUAGGUUUUCGCGUUAUUUCCUUAUCACUUCUCGCGUGUGUUUUGUUGUGAAACGUAGUUUGCGGAUCAGACAGAGUUGUCGGCGAUUCUUCCUAUUGUGAAAUCGUGCAAUGUGAAAGCCCCUGUCGCCGAUCCAUCGUGCAAUGUGGACACAGCAGGGACUGAAUGCUACCCAGACAGUCACGCAGUGUGAAAACAACAGCGAUCCGACGUGUUUGAAAAUCGUGCAGUGUGAAUUCGGCAUAAGUUGGAUUGCUUUUCUCUUUAUAAAUUUACAUGGGAGAAAUACUUUUUGUUGAUAAUGUUACUCAAAAUUUGAUUGGUGGUGAACACAUUUAGAAAUUACUAACUGCCAGUGUUUUUGUCGGGUGUACAGUGUUAAGUUCGUGAGGUGUAGAGAUGCAACGUUAGCCUGUGUGAAAGUUUCUAAAGCGGGUUCGAUUUCCUGAAAUAGUGAUUUUACUUGUAAAAUAAUUUUUGGAAUGUGUUUAUAAUUUAUGUUAUAUAUAUACUUUUAGCUUCUUUCAUUUUGGUUCGAUGACAGAUCCUCUCUCCUUCAUUCCCGCCGAGGCCUGGUUUUACUACGAGUCUGAAGCAGACACAUUUGGGCGGUUUUCUACUCAGAGGAGAGAAUUCAUCAAAUGUUAAAUUUAUAUUUGUUUUUGAAAGCACUGAGUGCUUUGAACCGGUAAUAGUGGGACUGUUAAACAUUUACGUGCUAACAAUUUCGUUUUUGUGACAUAACACCGUGUUGAAGUGUCGCGUCGCGUCAAGUCUUUCUGCAGACGGAGCUGUGUAACGCGGGACAUUUACCAGUCAUUUAAUUGGCGUUAUCUAAUGCAAAACUGUGAAAUUAGAGCGCGUUUAAAAACUUAAAUCCGUCAGUCUUUCAAUUUCUUUCAGUGCCCAUGCAGAGCAUGCUUGAAACCAGUCUUUAUCAAUUCAUAUAGCAUGCUAUUUUGGGUAAAUAAUGUCCUAAAUAUUUCCAGAUGUACAAAGUUAAGUUUUAAUUUAGAAAGAUAUGUCUGAAUCUAUCUGUAUUUUCUUUUCACAUUAUAAAUAAUAAAUUAAUAGUAAGAUAAAUUCUGAACGUGUUAAUUUAUUCUAACGUAGUACACCAUGUUCAUUUUAAGAUGCCUUAUUACUCAUGUUACUCAUUAAAAUUAUAUAAAUGUGUUUAAUAAUCAGAUUAAAUAAAUACUUAAAUUGUUUCAGGAAUACCUCCAUGUGAAUAUUGCACAAGGUUUUAUGUCUAUUAACUUUAACAGUCGUUUAAUUGACCCUAGAAUUAAGGAUGUAAAUAAAAAUAAGUUUAUGAUUUGACACCCGUAUUAUAGACAGCUCUCAGCAUACUCAAAAUUAGGGGUAAUCAUAAUUAUUUUACCAUAUUUACAGUCCUAAUGUAAAUUAAAUUACUGAAAUAAGUGUUUUUUAUUUUUAUUUUUCAAUAGAAUUGGCCCAGACGUCUGCAGUGUCAAGUGAAGGAAGCUCCUCUCAUAAGAUUGCAAACCUGGAGUCUGAUGAGCGUCAGUGAUGGAAGCCCUUCAAGAAAGGAGCAGAAUGCUGAAGAUGAAGCCAGAAUUACCUUCAAGGACACGAUUGACCUCGGAAUCAGCUGUAAAGGAGGAUGAAACCGAUGUUUAAGAAUGGGACAGCGAUGUUGCAUCAAUUUGUCUCCUUCAUUUGAUUCCACCAUCACCACAAGGCUGCAAGGGACCUGGAGAAAUGUCCUCCUAUCAAGCUGAAAAAUAUCUUCAAAUAGGCACUAAUAAGAACACCUUGAUUGCAUAGAAGAGACCACACAGCCAUACCUGCUCGCUGAUGGGACAACGAGGAACAGCGUUCAUGGAUGCUACACAACUGUCGACAAGUAUCUUGCUGCAGUCUUGUUCAAACCUGUCAUAUUUGUUAAUGUCUAGGUAAAUUUGAUGAUUUUAUGUGUUUUAUUAACUAUGUUAUGUUUCCGUGCAACACUUAACGAAUGUGACUGACUAAUUAACCUCUACACAUCUGGUAUAUGCUUUAAAGUUGCCACUUUGCCCAUUUGUUAAAUAAA